rnacentral:rRNA from 1 species
UUGCUCCCGGAUGUUAGCGGCGGACGGGUGAGUAACACGUGGGUAACCUGCCUGUAAGACUGGGAUAACUCCGGGAAACCGGAGCUAAUACCGGAUAGUUCCUUGAACCGCAUGGUUCAAGGAUGAAAGACGGUUUCGGCUGUCACUUACAGAUGGACCCGCGGCGCAUUAGCUAGUUGGUGGGGUAAUGGCUCACCAAGGCGACGAUGCGUAGCCGACCUGAGAGGGUGAUCGGCCACACUGGGACUGAGACACGGCCCAGACUCCUACGGGAGGCAGCAGUAGGGAAUCUUCCGCAAUGGACGAAAGUCUGACGGAGCAACGCCGCGUGAGUGAUGAAGGUUUUCGGAUCGUAAAGCUCUGUUGUUAGGGAAGAACAAGUGCGAGAGUAACUGCUCGCACCUUGACGG